CUUCGGUACUGAUCCUAGCAGCGGACGGGUGAGUAAUGCUUAGGAAUCUGCCAUUUAGUGGGGGACAACAUUCCGAAAGGGAUGCUAAUACCGCAUACGUCCUACGGGAGAAAGCAGGGGAUCUUCGGACCUUGCGCUAAAUGAUGAGCCUAAGUCGGAUUAGCUAGUUGGUGGGGUAAAGGCCUACCAAGGCGACGAUCUGUAGCGGGUCUGAGAGGAUGAUCCGCCACACUGGGACUGAGACACGGCCCAGACACCUACGGGAGGCAGCAGUGGGGAAUAUUGGACAAUGGGCGGAAGCCUGAUCCAGCCAUGCCGCGUGUGUGAAGAAGGCCUUUUGGUUGUAAAGCACUUUAAGCGAGGAGGAGGCUACCUAGAUUAAUACUCUGGGAUAGUGGACGUUACUCGCAGAAUAAGCACCGGCUAACUCUGUGCCAGCAGCCGCGGUAAUACAGAGGGUGCGAGCGUUAAUCGGAUUUACUGGGCGUAAAGCGUGCGUAGGCGGCUGAUUAAGUCGGAUGUGAAAUCCCUGAGCUUAACUUAGGAAUUGCAUUCGAUACUGGUCAGCUAGAGUAUGGGAGAGGAUGGUAGAAUUCCAGGUGUAGCGGUGAAAUGCGUAGAGAUCUGGAGGAAUACCGAUGGCGAAGGCAGCCAUCUGGCCUAAUACUGACGCUGAGGUACGAAAGCAUGGGGAGCAAACAGGAUUAGAUACCCUGGUAGUCCAUGCCGUAAACGAUGUCUACUAGCCGUUGGGGCCUUUGAGGCUUUAGUGGCGCAGCUAACGCGAUAAGUAGACCGCCUGGGGAGUACGGUCGCAAGACUAAAACUCAAAUGGAUUGAC
rnacentral:rRNA from 1 species